AGAGUUUGAUCCUGGCUCAGGAUGAACGCUGGCGGCGUGCCUAAUACAUGCAAGUCGAACUGACCUAGCAAUAGGUUAGUGGCGACCGGGUGCGUAACACGUAGCUGACCUGCCCCUCAGCGGGGGACAACAGGACGAAAGUUCUGCUAAUACCGCAUACAUUUAGAGCUUUUUGAAAACUCUAAAGAAACUUACGGGGCUGAGGGAGGGAGCUGCGGCCCAUCAGGUAGUUGGUGAGGUAACGGCUCACCAAGCCAACGACGGGUAGGGGGCCUGAGAGGGUGGUCCCCCACACUGGGACUGACACACGGCCCAGACUCCUACGGGAGGCAGCAGUAAGGGAUAUUGCGCAAUGGGCGAAAGCCUGACGCAGCAAUGCCGCGUGAAGGAUGAAGGCCUUCGGGUCGUAAACUUCUUUUCUCGCUGACGAGGAAGGACGGUAGGCGAGGAAUCAGUCACGGCUAACUACGUGCCAGCAGCCGCGGUAAAACGUAGGUGGCGAGCGUUAUCCGGAUUUACUGGGCGUAAAGCGUGUGCAGGCGGGGGAACAAGUGGUGUAUGAAAUCGCUCAGCUAAACCGGGCGGGGUUAUGCCAGACUGUUCCUCUAGAGUGCGAGAGAGGGGCGUGGAAUUCCGGGUGUAGUGGUGAAAUGCGUAGAGAUCCGGAGGAACCCCAGAGGCGAAGGCGGCGCCCUGGCUCGCAACUGACGCUCAGACACGACAGCAUGGGGAGCGAACGGGAUUAGAAACCCCGGUAGUCCAUGCCGUAAACGAUGCACACUAGGCGCUGACGGUCUCAACCCCGCCGGUGCCGCAGCUAACGCGAUAAGUGUGCCGCCUGGGGAGUACGGCCGCAAGGCUAAAACUCAAAGGAAUUGACGGGGGCCCGCACAAGCAGCGGAGCGUGUGGUUUAAUUCGAGGCUACACGAAGAACCUUACCUGGGUUUGACAUGCAGGUGGUAGGGAAGUGAAAGCGGACCGACCGCAAGGAGCCUGCACAGGUGCUGCAUGGCUGUCGUCAGCUCGUGCCGUGAGGUGUUAGGUUAAGUCCUGUAACGAGCGCAACCCCCGGGUCCAGUUACACGUUGUCUGGACCGACUGCCCGUGACAAGCGGGAGGAAGGUGGGGAUGACGUCGAGUCAGCAUGGCCUUUAUAUCCAGGGCUACACACACGCUACAAUGGCCGGUACAAUGGGUCGCCAAGCCGCAAGGCGGAGCCAAUCCAGACAAAGCCGGUCACAGUUCGGAUUGUGGGCUGCAACCCGCCCACAUGAAGUCGGAGUUGCUAGUAACCGCCGGUCAGCCAUACGGCGGUGAAUACGUUCCCGGGCCUUGUACACACCGCCCGUCACGUCAUGGGAGCUGGUCACGCCUGAAGCCGGUGGGCUAACCGCAAGGAGGCAACCGUCCAAGGCAGGGUCGGUGACUGGGACGAAGUCGUAACAAGGUA
rnacentral:rRNA from 1 species